UUUGACUUAAGGAACAUCUUAUUAUCACAAGCGAACAACGUUAAUUUGAAUAUUAAUUUAUAAGAAGAGUACGCCUGGCGCGCCACAAAGGAAAUAUCUGUCUCCCAUCUGGUAUGUUACAAAAUAUAAAUUGGCACACCAUGUUAAAAA
rnacentral:sRNA from 26 species